GGUAUAAUUUGUGUCUGGUAUCUGGUAUCAAAUAUUCUUGCUUUUAAAAAGUAGAUUCAAAAUGAACAAUGAUAGCACAGUGAUUGUGAAGAUGAAACAAAGUAACUUGAGUUGCCUGAUUUGAUCAUUCUAGGUGGCCGGUGGAGUUAUUUCUGUUUAAAAUUUAAAACAAUGAAACAGAGUAUGAAAUGUGAGGUGUAAUAUUUGUGUUUAGUAAGUGUAUAUUUUAGUUCAUGCUUGAAAUAUUUUACUGAAUUUCAAUAAUGUUUUUAAAUUGAAACUUACUUUUUAAUUAUUUUGAAAUGGCAGAACAAAAUACAGACCAUAGAUUUAUCAAUGUUGUACCGUCUGCUAACAUUUUGCACUUAUUAAAAUCCUCUCAUUGGUCUCUGAAUAAUUAUUUACAUAAAUUAUUAGAAUGUCACCAAAGGAUGAAAGUCAAACUGAUAGGUAUAUUUAAACAUAAGUAAGUAAAUAAUUGUGCAUCGUUGUCCUGUAGGAACUUGGAAUAACUUGCAGUGUCUUGCAGUAUUGUGAAACCAGCAACUUGUUCACAAUUCUUCUGAAUUUCUUGGGAAAUUUGAAGUGGAGUACCUGUACCAACAUGAAAUGACACGAAUUUAAGUGACGCUCAACAACGAAAAGCAAAAAGAACCAAAGAGGAAGCAACUGAAACAACAUCUGGAUGUAUUUAAAAAUAUACAAUGCCUCCAAAAUCAGGUGUCAUUAAUGAAAAUUCUGAAGAAAUGCCACCGGACAUAGCCAACGCACCUACGCUGUUGUUAUUCAUUUCCUGCUUUUCACAGAAAACAAUUUUGUUGCAUGGAAGAUCGUGAACUUCAAAGGGCAGAGGGGAAACUGUCCCUUGGCCUCUACCCCUCCAAGGCCCCACUUUUUUGUCAACACUCCUUGGACGCAGCAGAAGUAUGAACAUAAUAUGGUCCUGAAUGAGGCUGAGUCUUUGGGCGCAGAAGACCCGGGUUAAUAAAAAUAGGAAGAGUUAUGGGCUCUGGCCCAGUGUGGAGGGGCCAGAGGCUGACUGAAAAGCAGGCCCAGAGAGAGGAAGAAAUUCAUUCACCCAAGGUCACAGAGCUUUCAGCAGAGCUGGGACAGACCUCCUCUGACUCCCAGGCUGGGGCAGUUUCCUCCAGGGCUCCUCACCCAACCACGAGUUGUUCUUCGGUGACCCCAGGCACCUUCACAGCUCCAAACAUCACCACCAAGAGCUGCCUUGACUUUUCAGACGUCAUCGAGAACAAUAACAACAAAAAA
ensembl:lncRNA DRAIC downregulated RNA in cancer, inhibitor of cell invasion and migration